CCUACGGGUGGCUGCAGUGAGGAAUAUUGGUCAAUGGGCGAGAGCCUGAACCAGCCAAGUCGCGUGCGGGAGUACUGCCCUAUGGGUUGUAAACUUCUUUUAAGGGGGAAGAGCAGAAGACGGUACCCCUUGACUAAGCCACGGCUAACUACGUGCAAGCAGCCGCGGUAAUACGUAGGUGGCAAGCGUUGUCCGGAUUUACUGGGUGUAAAGGGCGUGCAGCCGGAGAGACAAGUCAGAUGUGAACUCCACGGGCUCAACCCGUGAACUGCAUUUGAAACUGUUUCCCUUGAGUGUCGGAGAGGUAAUCGGAAUUCCUUGUGUAGCGGUGAAAUGCGUAGAUAUAAGGAAGAACACCAGUGGCGAAGGCGGAUUACUGGACGAUAACUGACGGUGAGGCGCGAAAGCGUGGGGAGCAAACAGGAUUAGAUACCCCUGUAGUC
rnacentral:rRNA from 1 species